UUUCCGUAGGUGAACCUGCGGAAGGAUCAUUACUGAAAUUAAAAGUCUCUGCUCUUUUUAGAGCGAGGCGUUUUUCAAUUUCCUUCACACACAUGUGCACAACCCAUUUUUUUUACACGCAAAGUCUAUUGCAUGUUCAAAUACAAAAAACAUAAACAUAACUUUCAACAACGGAUCUCUUGGCUCUCGCAUCGAUGAAGAACGCAGC
rnacentral:misc_RNA from 1 species